rnacentral:rRNA from 1 species
UUGAACGCUGGCGGCAGGCCUAACACAUGCAAGUCGAACGGUAACAGAAAGCAGCUUGCUGCUUUGCUGACGAGUGGCGGACGGGUGAGUAAUGUCUGGGAAACUGCCCGAUGGAGGGGGAUAACUACUGGAAACGGUAGCUAAUACCGCAUAACGUCGCAAGACCAAAGAGGGGGACCUUCGGGCCUCUUGCCAUCGGAUGUGCCCAGAUGGGAUUAGCUAGUAGGUGGGGUAACGGCUCACCUAGGCGACGAUCCCUAGCUGGUCUGAGAGGAUGACCAGCCACACUGGAACUGAGACACGGUCCAGACUCCUACGGGAGGCAGCAGUGGGGAAUAUUGCACAAUGGGCGCAAGCCUGAUGCAGCCAUGCCGCGUGUAUGAAGAAGGCCUUCGGGUUGUAAAGUACUUUCAGCGGGGAGGAAGGGAGUAAAGUUAAUACCUUUGCUCAUUGACGUUACCCGCAGAAGAAGCACCGGCUAACUCCGUGCCAGCAGCCGCGGUAAUACGGAGGGUGCAAGCGUUAAUCGGAAUUACUGGGCGUAAAGCGCACGCAGGCGGUUUGUUAAGUCAGAUGUGAAAUCCCCGGGCUCAACCUGGGAACUGCAUCUGAUACUGGCAAGCUUGAGUCUCGUAGAGGGGGGUAGAAUUCCAGGUGUAGCGGUGAAAUGCGUAGAGAUCUGGAGGAAUACCGGUGGCGAAGGCGGCCCCCUGGACGAAGACUGACGCUCAGGUGCGAAAGCGUGGGGAGCAAACAGGAUUAGAUACCCUGGUAGUCCACACUGUAAACGAUGAUAGCUAGGUGUGGGGGGUCUGACCCCUUCCGUGCCGGAGUUAACGCAAUAAGCUAUCCACCUGGGGAGUACGACCGCAAGGUUGAAACUCAAAGGAAUUGACGGGGGCCCGCACAAGCAGUGGAGUAUGUGGUUUAAUUCGAAGCAACGCGAAGAACCUUACCAGGUCUUGACAUCGAGUGACGUACCUAGAGAUAGGUAUUUUCUUCGGAACACAAAGACAGGUGGUGCAUGGUUGUCGUCAGCUCGUGUCGUGAGAUGUUGGGUUAAGUCCCGCAACGAGCGCAACCCUUAUGGUCAGUUACUACGCAAGAGGACUCUGGCCAGACUGCCGUUGACAAAACGGAGGAAGGUGGGGAUGACGUCAAAUCAUCAUGCCCCUUAUGACCUGGGCUACACACGUGCUACAAUGGCGCAUACAAAGAGAAGCGACCUCGCGAGAGCAAGCGGACCUCAUAAAGUGCGUCGUAGUCCGGAUUGGAGUCUGCAACUCGACUCCAUGAAGUCGGAAUCGCUAGUAAUCGUGGAUCAGAAUGCCACGGUGAAUACGUUCCCGGGCCUUGUACACACCGCCCGUCACACCAUGGGAGUGGGUUGCAAAAGAAGUAGGUAGCUUAACCUUCGGGAGGGCGCUUACCACUUUGUGAUUCAUGACUGGGGUG